rnacentral:rRNA from 1 species
CCCUUAGACGUUCUGGGCCGCACGCGCGCUACACUGACCAGUGCAACAAGCAUCCGUCCUUGGCCGACAGGCCCGGGCAAUCUUUGAACGCUGGUCGUGAUGGGGAUAGACUUUUGCAAUUUUUGGUCUUCAACGAGGAAUUCCUAGUAAAUGCGAGUCAUCAUCUCGCGUUGAUUACGUCCCUGCCCUUUGUACACACCGCCCGUCGCACCUACCGAUUGAAUGGUCCGGUGAAGCCUCGGGAUUGCGAAUGCUUCGUGCGGACGCGAGAACUUGGCUAAACCUUACCAUUUAGAGGAAGGUGAAGUCGUAACA